GUUUUUCAAUACAGAGUUCACACUGGUUUCAUACGUGAUGAGGAGACAAGCAAACAGUGGAGAACAGCAGUAGAUACAAUGCAGAUAAGCAAGAAAGAAAAAUUAAGGACGAAAAGAUGGAGCUGUUUCUAAAAAAUCAGGUUACAUCCCAAUCCAACAGAAAUUUGCUUAACCGUGUGAGAAGAUGAUGCAUUUCCAACCGGGUUGUUGAUGGCUGAAGACCACAGUUCAGCCUUAGCAUGGGUAACUGCUGGCACUACAGUGCUCACCUUGAAUGAGACAAUAUUGGGAAGGUAAUCUACAAACAGCUAACAAAGAUGGCACACUUGGAAAUAAUACCAUAAAGGCUCAUUAUUUUAAACAACUAUUGAUUACAUCUUGGGGAUUUUCACCAAUUCCACUUGAUGCUGCUUUUAAAAUGUUCUUUGGCCUGUUAAUGAUUAAAGAUUUGGAUUUCCCUCUUUACACUAAAUACUUUUAUGGAGUCUACUUGAGCGCUGAUCUUUGCAUGGAAAUAACAGAAAAUUCCAAGAAAUGGAAGCCGCUGCUAGUAAAAGAAGAAAAGCCGAGUAUCGUCAGGGUUAAUAGCUCCUAUUUGAGAUCCAUGAAUGAUUACAAAGUUACUUUUCUAUAUCGAACUUUCAAGUCUCAUUAAUAAUAUGCUGCCUCUCCAGGACACAGGUGCACUCACGGUACAAAGGCUAUCGGUUCAUCACAUGGA
rnacentral:lncRNA from 1 species